GGCUCACUAGCUCAACUGGCAGAGCAAUUGACUCUUAAUCAAUCGGUUCAGGGUUCGAGUCCCUGGUGAGUCACAA
rnacentral:tRNA from 1 species